AUUAUUUAAAAUAAUAUUUAAUUGAAUUUGUAAAUAAUUUUUUUAUAAAAAUAUUUUAUUUUUAAUUUGUUUUAGUAUUUAGUAAAAAUAAAUUUUUAGAUUUAUAGUUAAUAAGUAUUGUAAAAGAAAUUUAAUAAAUAAUUAAAAGAUUUAAUUUAAGUACCUUUUGUAUCAGGGUUAAUUAAAAUUUUUAAUUUAUUUUAAUUUCUCAAAAUUUAUAGAGUUAAUUUUAUUAUUAAUUUAUUAUUUUAUCAAUAUUUAAAAAAUAAUUUUAGUUUUGAAAUUUAAUUUCGUUAUAAUAUAUUUAGUUAUUUAAGAUUUAAAUUUAAUUUAUAAUUUUAAAAGUUAUAUUAAUUUUUUUGAUAUUAAUAUUUUAAAUUUAAAUUAUUUUAGGGAUAAGCUUGAAAUUUUUAUAUAAUUUAUGUAUAAAAGAUUAAAUAUUUUAUAGAAAUAGAAAUUUUUAUUUUAAAGUUUGUAAAAAUUUAUUAUUUAAUUUUAUUUAAUUUAUUAUAAUUUAUUUAUUUUUAAUAUUAAAUUUUAUAAUAAAAUAUUUUUUUUAUAGUAAUAAUGAUUAAAUUAGUAUAAUAUUAAUUUAUUAAUUAUGAAUUUGGCAAAAUUUAUUUUCAUCUGUUUAACAAAAACAUUGUAUUAAUUUUUAUUUAAUAUAGGAUCUGCUCAAUGAAUUAAUUUUAAAUAGCUGCAGUAUAAUGACUGUGCAAAGGUAGCAUAAUAAUUAGUUUUUUAAUUGAAAACUUGAAUGAAAGAUUUGAUGAAAAAUAAACUUUAUUAUUAAUAUAUUUAUAAUUUUAUUUUUAAGUAAAAAAGCUUAAAUAAUUUAAAGGGACGAUAAGACCCUAUAAAACUUUAUAAUUUUUAGAUUUAUUUUUUUUUUUGUUUAAAUAAAUUAAUUAAUUUUAAUAAUUAUUUUAUUGGGGUGAUAAAAAAAAUUUUUUAACUUUUUUUAAAUUAAACAUUAUUAAAUGAUUAUUUGAAUUAAAAAUUUUAAUUAAAGGAAAAAGUUACUUUAGGGAUAACAGCGUAAUUAAUUUUUUAAGUUCAAAUUUUAAAAUUAGU
rnacentral:rRNA from 1 species